rnacentral:miRNA from 1 species
AGGGACAUCGCAAUGAGACUUC